GGAGAGUGAAGCCCAUAGUCUCAAAAUACAGUAUUAACAAACAGUGAGGUAUUGUUGUUUGAAUGGAAUGCCUGCUAUUUUAGCUGUAAUAUUCCAUCUCUGAGUCAUAGUCAUUGGGUUCAGGCUCCAAUGCAAACAGUUCCAAUUGUACAGAAACAGGAUUGCAGCUCUAAAGCAUGGAUUGAAGUCCAAAAAUAAUUUUCACAUUUUUGGAUAUUGAUGUUUCUUUCAUUGUAAAGGCAAACAGGAUUCCUUAGCGUUGAUUACAGCUCUAAGUUUGGACAAGUUGGUUGAGAUCAAAACCGUGAAGAAGGAAAGAGGAAACCACCACAACCCAUUCUCCCUUAGCUGGUGGCUCAAGAAUCUCAGGUGUUAGACUUCCGGGGUCAGGUCCAGUCCUGUCUGCAAUACAGCCUGUGACAGUGGCAAGAACACAUUUUAAAAGUGGCCAAAGACAUUUGGGUUAAAGAGUGACAGAACCAUGCGACAGGUAACAAACACCCAAGAGUUGUUUGCCCAGUCACAGAAUAUUAAAGAGGAAGAGAGACACUAAACUGCACCGAUGAAGAGGGUGAGGGUCCAUCACUUCAUCUGCUACUGAAACCAACAGCUGGACAACAACUGUUUAGCAUCAGCACCAAUCAGUUAAGUGGAAUCUGUUGGAUGCUGCAAAGGGGCAACUUUUUGGAUUGGUGA